rnacentral:rRNA from 1 species
UGCCAGCAGCCGCGGUAAUACGGGGGGUGCAAGCGUUGUUCGGAAUUAUUGGGCGUAAAGCGUGCGUAGGCGGACUAUUAAGUCUGAUGUGAAAUCCCUCGGCUCAACCGAGGACCUGCAUUGGAUACUGGUAGUCUUGAGUCCCGGAGAGGAUAGCGGAAUUCCUAGUGUAGAGGUGAAAUUUGUAGAUAUUUGGAGGAACACCAGUGGCGAAGGCGGCUUUCUGGACAGUGACUGACGCUGAGGCGCGAAAGUGUGGGUAGCAAACAGGAUUAGAUA